CGUCUGGCGGCAGCCAUCAGGUGAGCCAAGAUGGGUGCAUACAAGUACAUCCAGGAGCUGUGGAGGAAGAAGCAGCAGUCUGAUGUGAUGCUCUUUCUUCUGAGGGUCCGCUGCUGGCAGUACCGCCAGCUCUCUGCGCUCCAUAGGGCUCCCCGCCCCACCCGGCCAGAUAAAGCGCGCAGACUGGGAUACAAAGCUAAGCAAGGUUAUGUCAUAUACAGGAUUCGUGUGCGCCGCGGUGGCCGCAAACGCCCAGUUCCUAAGAGUGCAACCUAUGGCAAGCCUGUGCACCAUGGUGUUAACCAGCUAAAGUUUGCUCGAAGCCUUCAGUCUGUUGCUGAGGAGCGAGCUGGACGCCACUGUGGGGCUCUAAGAGUCCUGAAUUCUUACUGGGUUGGUGAAGAUUCAACAUACAAUUUUUUGAGGAUAUCCUCAUUGAUCCAUUCCAUAAAGCUAUCAGAAGAAAUCCUGACACCCAGUGGAUCACCAAACCAAAAGGGGCCCUGGAUGUGCUCUCUCAGGACAGCGACCCCUGGACGCCAAAUGCAGAUACUUAA